CCACCGAGUACGAUGCGCAUCUCCUUGCCUUGGGACGUCGAUGUCGAUGGUCUACAGUCACAAGUCUGUCCAUUUGCAGUGGGACGUCGUCGUCUCAGCGAGGCUGAUGGCUGCUGCUCCGGCAGCAUCCUGGAGAUCCCCAGUGAGAUGCUACAGGAAAUCCUGAUGAAGCUGCCGACCAAGGACGUGGCCCGGUCCUGCUGCGUCUCCCGGCAGUGGCGCAGCGUCGUCAGGGACCCCUCCUUCCGCAAGCUCCACGCAGCGAGCCAUGCCGCACUCUCGGUAGAGGCCGAGUUCUUGCUCCUGUCCGGUGUACUGUGCGAGCUCAACCAGAGCAUGAAGACGUGCGUCUUCAGCUUAUCCUCGGACAAACCCAUGUGCUCCAUCGCCAAGCCCCACAGCGGCGGCCUCGUCAACAUCUGCAACGGCCUCCUCUGCUUCGUGCUAGAGGACCGCAAGGGUCAGGCGCCGGCGGUGGUGUGCAACCCCGUCACCGGCGAGACGCUGGCACUUCCGGCGGCCCCUCCGCUCAGCAACAAGAACCAUGUGUAUUUGUUUGUCUUUGGGUUCAGUCCGCCCACCAACGAGUACAAGCUGUUCCGCUUCUCUUUCCCGCCAUACUCGUGCUCCUCCAAAGAGCGGGUGGACGUGGACGUCUACACCUUGGGUGACGCCCGCGGGUGGCGCAAAGACUCGUUCCUCUCACCCUCUCGCCCACCAAACAGAAGAAAUAGCAUUUCGGCGCCAGUAAUGAUCGAUGGUAAACUUCACGUGGUCACGAAAGGCUGGAAUGCACCCAUGGGAGAGGAGGCUGCCGGAGUGCUGGUAAUGGACGUGCAUGCCGAGACGUGUCGCAUUUACCCUCUCCCGAACGAUCUCGUGACCUAUCGAUAUGAUAAUCCGCUGGCCUUUGAGCUGAAGGGGCGUCUGUGCCUCGCCGCACACAUGUUCAGCGGUGGUCGCCCCAAGGCCAUCCGCUUCUGGGUCAUGAGCAUGGAGAACAAGGAAUCGGACAGCGAGAAGGAGCUGCAUUGGGAUUUGCGCUACAACUUCUUCGUGGAAGUGGAACAUCCCUUCAACACCCAAAGGCCGCGGAGCAGGGUACCGUGGAGUGCAUGGUUUCAAUAUGAGACACUCUGCUACACGCGCAGCGACACCUUGCACAGGUAUGACACGAGGUCGUCCAUUCCUGACCACGGUCGAUUGCUACAAUGGAACAAACAGCUCCAGACGACUACAAUAUCAUACAAAUGGCGAUGGAUGAUCCACCGGGGUUACCGUCCCACUCUGCUCUCGCCACGCGUCUUUGAAUUGCCGCCGUCCCAAGACGAGACGACGAUG
rnacentral:rRNA from 1 species